GCGGGGGUGCCCGAGCCAGGUCAAAGGGGGCGGACUCAAGAUCCGCUGGCGAAGCCUGCGUGGGUUCAAAUCCCACCCCCCGCA
rnacentral:tRNA from 1 species